UAAACGACUCUCGGCAACGGAUAUCUUGGCUCUCGCAUCGAUGAAGAACGUAGCGAAAUGCGAUACUUGGUGUGAAUUGCAGAAUCCCGUGAACCAUCGAGUUUUUGAACGCAAGUUGCGCCCGAAGCCUUCNGGCCAGGGCACGUCUGCCUGGGCGUCACGC
rnacentral:rRNA from 7 species